ACAAGAUUUUUAAAAAAGGAUAUGGAUUACAAAAACUGCAGCAAGUCGGGAUUUAAGAAAUGCACCACAGCGAGCAACAGGAAACCAGCUGUUCAGUGACGAGUUCUACAUGGAACAAGUGGCUCCACAGAACAGCAAAGAUGGACAGAUUGUUUUCAGGUGAAGAUGACGUUUCCUGUGGCCUGCUCGCAGAUCACAGGCAUCACUGCUGAAGGUUUCAGUGGCAGAACACCAUGACUGAGCAGGAGCAAGAUGGAGGCCUAACAGAACCUGUCCAAAACACACAAACAGGCUUGACUUUAAUCUACAUGCGAGAGCCCAGACACUUCUACAUGUA